AUGUAUAUAUCUGCAAACAGCCUGAGAAUUUUUGUGGUAACCAAAAUUCUUAAAGUUUUCUAAGUUAUAUAGACAUAUUUUAUCUUAAUAUUAAAAAGACUAAGCUAAGUGUUAACAACUAUGUAACCUUCUGCAUUUGCCUUUAAACUUUCUUAUUAUCAUUCUGGUUAAAUAAUAAGUGUUAUUUAAUAACUAUAAUUCUAUUUAGGCAAGUGCCUUAAAAACUUUUGACAAUUUCCCAAGACCAAAUUUGAAAAAGUAUUUUUACCUCUAAUUAACUCUGAUAUUUUCCAGAGGGCCCCUGGAACAUAUCAGUGGAAUUUCUUCUCCUCGUCAAGGAAAAUAUUUGACUAAUUUGGCUUAUUUACCCAAUGUAUAUUUACCUGGAAAGCACUGUCAAAGGGAAUAGUGCCAAACUUUGUUACUGAAUGUUUUAUGUCACAGAAAUAUCACUCUUCUCCCUAAGACGCUUACUCCUGAUGCCCAAUUAAAUUUACCUGUUAGUACUACUAUAAUUACUGAUUGCGUAUGUAUUAAUUGUACUCAUGUAGCCUCUUACUGUAAUUGUACAAUCAAUGUAAAAUUGUCUUCUAGAUAUAGACUUCCAAAUGGUUGGGUAUUUUUGUGUAAUAACAAAGCAUAUCAAGCCCUUUCUUCACACUAUGGUGUGGGACGCAUUCUUUCUGCUCUACAUCCUGGAUAUAGGCUCAAGAGGCUUCUCCUAGCUCUGCCAUCUGAUUGUCAUGAAAACUUGAAACUUUCAGAUCCUGCCGCUCUUGCAGUUGCAGCUGCAUUCCUCCUGCAGGUUCCUGGACUUGUCAUUGGAAUGCUAAAGGAGAUAGCUAAGGUGGCCUGCACAUACAGCAAAACAACAAAUUUGACUGCUUAUAUAUUAUCUGAACUCAACCAAGAACUGAGAGAAGUGCAAGUUGUGGUACUUCAAAAUCAGGCUACUAUAGACUGUCUGCUGUUAAAAGAACAUGAAGGAUGUAAGCAGUUUCCAAGAAUGUGCUGUUUCAAUUUGUCUGAUUUUUCUCAAACUACCCAAAAUCAAUUAGAUGAUAUCCAUCAUAUUGUCAAUAAGUUUUUACAAAUGCCUGAGUUAUCUAACUAGUUUUCUUAAUUUCAUUAGAUAUAACUAGUAAUUGUAAGUCUGCCUUUGUUAUGUAUCUGUAUUCCUAUUUUGUUAAUGUGUGUAUGCAAUUUAACUAGUAGUUUGUUAAAACCUAUAUAUAUAUAUUCAAAUU